AGAGACAGCAGUAGCCGCGGGAAUACGUAGGUGGCAAGCGUUGUCCGGAAUUAUUGGGCGUAAAGCGCGCGCAGGCGGAUCAGUCAGUCUGUCUUAAAAGUUCGGGGCUUAACCCCGUGAUGGGAUGGAAACUGCUGAUCUAGAGUAUCAGAGAGGAAAGUGGAAUUCCUAGUGUAGCGGUGAAAUGCGUAGAUAUUAGGAAGAACACCAGUGGCGAAGGCGACUUUCUGGACGAAAACUGACGCUGAGGCGCGAAAGCCAGGGGAGCGAACGGGAUUAGAUACCCGCGUAGUCCCUGUCUCUUAUACA
rnacentral:rRNA from 1 species